UGGGGAAUAUUGGGCAAUGGGGGAAACCCUGACCCAGCGACGUCGCGUGAGGGAAGAAGGUCUUCGGAUUGUAAACCUUUGUCAACAGGGAAGAAGCAAGUGACGGUACCUGAAGAGGAAGCCACGGCUAACUACGUGCCAGCAGCCGCGGUAAUACGUAGGUGGCGAGCGUUAUCCGGAAUUACUGGGUGUAAAGGGUGUGUAGGCGGGGAUGCAAGUCAGAUGUGAAAUCCAUGGGCUCAACCUAUGGUGUGCAUUUGAAACUGCGUUUCUUGAGUGUGGGAGAGGUAAGCGGAAUUCCUAGUGUAGCGGUGAAAUGCGUAGAUAUUAGGAGGAACACCAGUGGCGAAGGCGGCUUACUGGACCACAACUGACGCUGAGACACGAAAGCGUGGGGAGCAAACAGG
rnacentral:rRNA from 2 species